UGAGACAGAGAUCCACUUCAUCCUUCCAACAGGCAAGCAAGUCCAGUGGAAUUGUACCCUUCCAGUGUCCUACUGCAAAGCAGACCUUGAUGAAUCUUCGGAUGCUGCAGACUAUCUUCCAGACUCAUGCGGCAAUUCCUCGGAUGCUUCUAUUAUAAGUACUACAAGUUCUUGUAGUAAGGAAUAUAAAACCACAGAAAAGAAUCUCCACCACAAAUUGUCAGAGAACAAACCAUUAGGGAAUGUUACAGCACACAGUGGGGAUAGUACCACCAGUUCAGAGAAGCCAAGAACAUUAAGUUAUUCAAAGAUGCGCAGCAAUCCUUGUACUUCAGUAAUAAGCUGCAGUGCCAAUUCAUCAGAGAACACAUCACACCAGAAAAGCUCCAUAAAUGUCACACCUUUGUCAAUAACAGCAAAAGGAAGCAGGUACAACAAGAAGCAAUUUUGUCUUUAUUGUAAAAAGGCCAUUUAUAAAUUGGCAAGACACCUCGAAUCCAUCCACAGUGAAAAGCCUGAUGUUGCAAUGGCUUUCAGUUUUAAUAAAGGAUCCCGCAAAAGAAGAGAGUUGUUACGCUCUCUUAAGAAGAGAUGAAACUUUGAACAUAAUACUGAAGUGGCAAGCUGUGGCACUGGAGAGAUGGUUGCCUGUAAAAGACCUAGUAAUGCAAAACCAUCUGAUGACUACCGUGACUGCAAAUUUUGCGAAGGACUGUAUGCAAGAAAUUCCCUAUGGAGACAUGUGAGAAACUGCCCGAAGAAGUCUGUUGAGGGAGAGCCUCAAGUUGGGCGAAAAUGGAUUCAACUGCACUUACCAAGACCUGACUCAGUUAAGGAAACUGUUUGGAAGAUUGCUUGUGAAAUGAACCAGGAUGACGUUUCCUCGGUUGUAAGGAGUGAAACUGAAUUCCUUUGUAUCGGCGAGUCACUGUUGAAUUCCAGGAAACCAUAUGAGAGAAGGAAUGACUACAUACGC